rnacentral:misc_RNA from 1 species
UUUCCGUAGGUGAACCUGCGGAAGGAUCAUUAUUAUAUAACCGAGAUGCGAGGGCUGUCGCUGACCCGAAAGGUCGUGCACGCCCGAGUGCCCUCACACACAUCCAUCUUACCCCUAUGUGCACCACCGCGUGGGUCCCCCUUUGGCUUGUUCGGAGGGGGGCUUACGUUUUCACACAAACUUUGUAUGCAGUGUAGAAUGUAUUUUUUGUUUUUGCGAUCACGCAAUCAAUACAACUUUCAACAACGGAUCUCUUGGCUCUC